rnacentral:lncRNA from 7 species
AGUAAAAGAACAGUCAGGGAUAAGCAGGGAGGUGGCAAGCACCAAGAGAAAUCUGCAGACUGUUAAGGCCUGAUGUGCAUUAUCCAGGGCUGCUAAUUGAUGUAAGUGCAGGCUUACUGCUUUAUCACAUACUUCAGAGAACCUUUGGUGGAGGCAGUAGAACACUGAAGUAGUGCAACUGAAACACCUGUAUUUAGAAAGGAGGUAAAAUAAGAGCCAGGAAGAUUUGGAAAGGCUUAAUAUCAACACCAGGAAUUUCAGGAACGCUUGCUUAAAGGAUAUGUGUGACACGUGGACGUAAGAGAGCAGGUCAACGUCAUCUGUCUUGAUUUCAGAAGGGGUCUGGAGACUCCUUGUCGUUCCCAUAAGCAAGUCAGUCAAACGCGAUCCCAGUAAGCCACAUCAGGGUGAGCACGAAGCUGAAUUACCUCCCCAAGGGAACUGCCAGCUGUGCACUGGGAAUGCCACAGCUGGCCUCUGUCCUGCCCUCAGUGACACUUUUCCAGAAGAGAGCAAUGCAAGUGCCCAGGGAUGCAGAAUUGUCAGCUAUGGAAAAGAAAGAAGCACCACAGCCCUUCCUAACCUAAAGGAGAAAGCAGUACAGAGGUAGAUCUGGGCUCCAUCCAUUUCUGAGGACGUUUUUGUGGUUGAGGAGCAGAGAGAAGGCUGUGGCUGAGAUCCUAUCGCGCACUGUUGAUCUCAGCCAAUAUGUUUUCUGAUCUAAGUCUGAAGUCUAACCUUCACAGUGUUAGUGUUAUUGGCUGAACAUUAACUCCAUCCAGUUAUACAUAAGUCAGCUUUUUGCUGGCACAGCCAUAGUGGUGCUGCACACUGCUCUGGUCAUUCUGACUCAGCCUUUCCCUUCCACUCAGUGGUGUAGGAUCAGUGGGACACCUCCAGCUUGUCUUGGUCCUUGGCCAAUCUCAGCCCACAGUUGCCACACUGAGUGUUUUUCAUGGUCAGUUGGCACAGCUUGGACCUCUGGGGGCUGUGCAAAGAGUGCACGUCCUGGAGGUGUGCUCCGGGCAUCCCUCAUUUAGUAUGAAGCUACUAAAAAGCUAAUGAAUUUGUAUAGAUGGUGAAACAGCAGCAGAUCUACCCAGCGCUGUGCGGGACUGCACGUAAUGGAGGCAGGUUCAACAAUGGGCAUUUGUAAUGUCCAUGAUGGCAAUGGUAUGGCUUUGCUGAAUUAAUUCUGCCUGGAAUUGGAAUAUACGGACACACAUACACACAUACACAUAAUUAGGAGGAGAAAGUCCACUUAAUUUGAAAAAUGUGUAGUAGCAAAGGCUGUACCACAUCUUCUGGCAAAUUGUUGCAGUAAUUAAUCACUGUCAUUGUUAAGAGCGGACUGUUGUGUUUUAUUUAAUGGACAGUGCCUAAUAUACCUUUUCCUUGCUGAACUAUGGACAUGUGUUAUCCAGUUUGUCGUGUGGAUAAAAAAUGGGAUUGAAGGGUUAAGAUGGUUUAUUCAAAGGCUAUCAGUAUUUUGCCUGUGUGUGUUUUGGGGAUGGCUCCUGCUAGAAGUGCAAGCUGUUAACUCUGCCAUUGAUUUUCCUUGUGCUGUGUUAAGCACUGGGAAAAGAACCAUUUCCCCCAUGAUUACAGUCCCUGGCCACAAAGGCCCAGAGACCAGCACAGACCUGAUGUUAAUUGGUACUUGGCAGACCAGUGCAGCCACAAACGUCCCAAGAAAUUAAUUUGGCCUUUUAUCCAGCAACUCCCAAUCUGUAAGGUAGUGAUUAACAGCCCUGCCUUCCCUCAGGGGACAUGUGCAAGCAUAAAUAUAUCAGUUGGAGGUGUUUGGACACAAAAACAAGAUAAAUACACCCUGAAGGACCCGGAGCAGUGCUGCAUGGGAAUGUUUGGCAACAAGUUACCUUGAGCAUCUCCUGAUCAGCACUGCAAAAAAUUCUGCGUGAAGUCGAGGCCUUGACUCUGUGGACAUUUCUCAUUGUUUACAAUACUACAAUAGUGAUAUCUGCUUAUCUAUGGUGUGAUCUGAUCAGUGGGGAGAGAACUGGCUGUGAUUUACACAUCUCCUGUUUGUAAUAGGGAGCAAAAACAAGUUCAGAAACCAGACCCGUCACCUACGACACUUUGGGUUCUUUGCCAUCUCCUGCCAUGCUUGGCUAUGGGGACUUCCUUGAAAUGCAGGAUGUGCAAACUU